UUGCUUUGACAGCAAGUGUGCUAAAAUUAGAACUACAUAGGUAAGAUUAACAUGGCCCCUGCUUAGGAAUGACAUGCAGGCAGUGGUGGUGCACGCCUUUAAU